GACGAACGCUGGCGGCGUGCUUAACACAUGCAAGUCGAACGAUGAAGCCUUCGGGUGGAUUAGUGGCGAACGGGUGAGUAACACGUGGGCAAUCUGCCCUGUACUUUGGGAUAAGCCUUGGAAACGGGGUCUAAUACCGGAUAUCACUUCUGACCGCAUGGUUGGUUGUUGAAAGUUCUGGCGGUACAGGAUGAGCCCGCGGCCUAUCAGCUUGUUGGUGGGGUAAUGGCCUACCAAGGCGACGACGGGUAGCCGGCCUGAGAGGGUGACCGGCCACACUGGGACUGAGACACGGCCCAGACUCCUACGGGAGGCAGCAGUGGGAAUAUUGCACAAUGGGCGAAAGCCUGAUGCAGCGACGCCGCGUGAGGGAUGACGGCCU
rnacentral:rRNA from 1 species